GACCCGGUGGCGCAGUGGCAAGCGCAUCCAUUUACAUCCUUUGAGGAAGGCUCCUGUUCGAUUCAGGAUCGGGUCG